rnacentral:rRNA from 1 species
AUCACUUAAAGCGAUUCAGCGGGUUACGAUUGACGGAGCGAAGCGACGUCAAAGCGUAUACAAAGUCGAGUCGGUUUAAGGAUACGUUCGUUGGGUAGGGGAGCGUUCUGUAAGCCUGUGAAGGUGGCCUGUGAGGGUUGCUGGAGGUAUCAGAAGUGCGAAUGCUGACAUAAGUAACGAUAAAGCGGGUGAAAAGCCCGCUCGCCGGAAGACCAAGGGUUCCUGUCCAACGUUAAUCGGGGCAGGGUGAGUCGACCCCUAAGGCGAGGCCGAAAGGCGUAGUCGAUGGGAAACGGGUUAAUAUUCCCGUACUUGGUGUUACUGCGAAGGGGGGACGGAGAAGGCUAUGUUGGCCGGGCGACGGUUGUCCCGGUUUAAGCGUGUAGGUGUGUGUUCCAGGUAAAUCCGGUUCACUUUAACACUGAGGCGUGACGACGAGGCACUACGGUGCUGAAGCAACAAAUGCCCUGCUUCCAGGAAAAGCCUCUAAGCAUCAGGUAACAUCAAAUCGUACCCCAAACCGACACAGGUGGUCAGGUAGAGAAUACCAAGGCGCUUGAGAGAACUCGGGUGAAGGAACUAGGCAAAAUGGUGCCGUAACUUCGGGAGAAGGCACGCUGACACGUAGGUGAAGUGAUUUACUCAUGGAGCUGAAGUCAGUCGAAGAUACCAGCUGGCUGCAACUGUUUAUUAAAAACACAGCACUGUGCAAACACGAAAGUGGACGUAUACGGUGUGACGCCUGCCCGGUGCCGGAAGGUUAAUUGAUGGGGUCAGCGCAAGCGAAGCUCCUGAUCGAAGCCCCGGUAAACGGCGGCCGUAACUAUAACGGUCCUAAGGUAGCGAAAUUCCUUGUCGGGUAAGUUCCGACCUGCACGAAUGGCGUAAUGAUGGCCAGGCUGUCUCCACCCGAGACUCAGUGAAAUUGAACUCGCUGUGAAGAUGCAGUGUACCCGCGGCAAGACGGAAAGACCCCGUGAACCUUUACUAUAGCUUGACACUGAACAUUGAGCCUUGAUGUGUAG